AUUAUUUUGGCAGAAUUUUAUGCAGUGAAUUUAGAAUUCAUUUAUAUAUAAAUUUAAUUAUAUAAAUAAUA
rnacentral:tRNA from 1 species